AAGCUGAAUUUAAAUUUGAAGUUCAAACGGCUGCGAGAAGUGUUUGCGCUGGUGUGUGUUGUUUUUCUUUACGUGUAAUUCUCAGUCCUUGUAUAAAAGAAGAAUUACACACCAUGAACAAAGAGAAUACAGCAUCCCUUCUCCCUGUCAUGUCUGGGAAACGGGCUCACACCAACAGCUCCGAUGGGGAGCAACAGCAGCCUGCGCAGAAGAAAAUGCGCAGAGUAGAUGCAGAACCGCCUCAGAGGUUCAGACCUGCGGCUAGUGUUGUGCCCCCAAGACAUCCUGUGGCAGUCAAAG